CAGGGUCCUUUGGGGCCAGAGGAAUCCUAAAACCAUGAAUCACCCACAUAUGCUUUGAGACAUUUUCUAGAUUUCUUCCUGGAAGCCCUGCAACUACCCUAAAAUUCAAUGUAUUACAGAACAGACCUAUGUAUUCUGGACCAUCAAUGGAGCCAACAAUUCAAAAUUCAGAUAUUGUCUUUGCAGAAAAGCUUAGCCAACAUUUUUUGGUAUCCAAAGAGGUGACAUUGUGAUUGCAAAAAGCCCAAGUGAUCCAAAAUCAAAUAUUUGUAAAAAAGUAAUUGGUUUAGAAGGAGACAAAAUCCUCACCACUAGUCCAUCAGAUUUCUUUAAAAGCCAUAUUUAUGUGCCAACAGGUCAUGUUUGGUUAGAAAGUGAUAAUUUACAGAAUUCUACAGAUUCCAGGUAUUAUGGACUGAUUCCAUAUGGACUAAUAAGAGAAUGAAUCUUCUUUAAGAUCUGGCCUCUAAGUGAUUUUGGAUUUCUAUGUGACAGCCCAAAUGGCCACAGAUUUUCUGAUGAUUAGCAAGCAUUAUUACUUUUAACUUGAUUAUUGUUUCCUGUUCAAGUGAAUUUAUUACUGCAAUUGAAACCAUGUACUUACCAAUAAACUAUUUGCUGUUCAGUUUUAGUUAUUUGUUAAAUGUAAAGAAAUACUCAUUCUGCAAAC
rnacentral:lncRNA from 1 species